rnacentral:rRNA from 1 species
UACGGAGGUGGCAAGCGUUACUCGGAAUCAUUGGGUGUAAAGGGCAAGUAGGCGGUCUAAUAAGUGAGGGGUGAAAUCCUGCGACUCAAUCGCAGAACUGCCUUUCAAACUGCUAGACUUGAGGUAGGAAGAGGGAAGUGGAAUUUGCGGUGUAAGGGUGAAAUCUGUAGAUAUCGCAAAGAACACCAGCGGCGAAGGCGGCUUCCUGGUCCUUACCUGACGCUGAAUUGCGAAAGCUAGGGGAGCAAACAGA